UAAAGAAUUUCGGUCAUCGAUGGGGAUGCGUUCCAUUAGCUUGUUGGCGGGGUAACCGCCCACCAAGGCAUCGAUGGAUAGGGGUUCUGAGAGGAAGGUCCCCCACAUUGGAACUGAGACACGGUCCAAACUCCUACGGGAGGCAGCAGUGAGGAAUAUUGGUCAAUGGGCGCUAGCCUGAACCAGCCAAGUAGCGUGAAGGAUGACUGCCCUAUGGGUUGUAAACUUCUUUUAUAUGGGAAUAAAGUGCAGUAUGUAUACUGCUUUGCAUGUACCUUAUGAAUAAGGAUCGGCUAACUCCGUGCCAGCAGCCGCGGUAAUACGGAGGAUCCGAGCGUUAUCCGGAUUUAUUGGGUUUAAAGGGAGCGUAGGCGGGUUGUUAAGUCAGUUGUGAAAGUUUGCGGCUCAACCGUAAAAUUGCAGUUGAUACUGGCAUCCUUGAGUACAGUAGAGGUAGGCGGAAUUCGUGGUGUAGCGGUGAAAUGCUUAGAUAUCACGAAGAACUCCGAUUGCGAAGGCAGCCUGCUGGACUGUAACUGACGCUGAUGCUCGAAAGUGUGGGUAUCAAACAGGAUUAGAUACCCUGGUAGUCCACACAGUAAACGAUGAAUACUCGCUGUUUGCGAUAUACAGUAA
rnacentral:rRNA from 1 species